AGCAAGUUAGGGUUGUAAGAGACAUUUCUGAGAUUAAAGCAGCCAGAUCUAUGAUGGGGUGGGUACGGGUGGUUAAAGAGAAACAGAACGUGAGAAUGACUCAUGAGACUAUUAAACUGACUUAACUGAAAUUUUAAAAAAGGGGGAAAUACCAACUACGAUGCACCCCCCCCACCCCCACCACACCAUGUUUUAAUGCUACUCAAGGUCUAUGGCUGGGAAAGGCCACUUGUUUUUCUUCAGUUAAUGCUGAGACUGUUUGUCUGCCAGAGAGGAAGAGGAGAUGAGGACACAGACAUACACAGAAGGAAGACCAUGUGAAGACACAGGGAGAAGGUGGCCAUCUUCAAGCCAACGAGAGAUGCCUCAGGAGGAGCCAACCCUGCUGACACCCUGAUCUCAGCCCUUCAGCCUCCAGGGGUACAAGAGAAUGAAUUUCUGCUGCUUCAGCCACUGUCUGUGGAACUUGGUUAUGGGAGACUAAUACAGUCAAUAAUUGGCCAUUGACUUUAUAUAAAAUGUCAAUAAAAGAAUGUGGGACUCCUAGACCUAGUUUGUUUUCCCCAGGCCAGGAGAGCUGUGAAUUAUUAUUUUUAAUUGUUGCAUAAUAAUUGCCCAUAUGUAUGGGCAUGUGUGAUAUUUUGUUACAUGCAUAGAACAUGUCAUGAUCAAGUCAGGGUAUUUAGAAUAUCCAUCUCCUCAAGCAUUUAUCAUUUCUGUGGAGCUGUGGACUCUUCAUGAAAAGUAUGGAGGGGCUGGCCUGCAGAACCAGGGGCCAGGGUAGGGGGAGAGCUGGAGACACACUCCCAUCCUUCUCCCCACACAAAGUCCUUUGGACACAACCAUGCCGCUCUGGUUGAACCCUUAUUUCUAGGACCCUCCCCAGUCUGUGUUCAUGGUCAGCUUUGGCCUCAGCCCAUGCCCUGGAUUUUCCACUGUGGCAUCCUGCUCCUCCCACACCUGCCUUCCCUCUCUCCUCCCGCGGGACUCACUCAAAUCUGACUGAGAGACUACUGUGUGCCACCCCCUGCUGUCUCUGCAUCUCCCUACUUUUGGGUCUGAAGAAGUGUGAGGACAGAGUAUUAUGUGCACACCCAUAAUGCCUGCCGAGUCUUCAGGGUCCCUUGGC
rnacentral:lncRNA from 1 species